UACGUAGGCAGCGAGCGUUGUUCGGAGUUACUGGGCGUAAAGGGUGUGUAGGCGGUUGUUUAAGUUUGGCGUGAAAUCUCCCGGCUCAACUGGGAGGGUGCGCCGAAUACUGAAUGACUUCGAGUGCGGGAGAGGAAAGUGGAAUUCCUGGUGUAGCGGUGAAAUGCGUAGAUAUCAGGAGGAACACCGGUGGUGUAGACGGCUUUCUGGACCGUAACUGACGCUGAGACACGAAAGCGUGGGUAGCAAACAGG
rnacentral:rRNA from 1 species